AAUUCAUCUAAUUCUCUUUGUAAAAUAUCUGUGUCUUGUGUUGUUUUUAUUGUUCUAUAUAUUAUGCAAUCGUCUGCAAAUAAUCUGACUUUUGUUCCUGAAGUAAUGCAAUUUGGUAAAUCAUUUAUGUAAAUUAAAAAUAGUAGUGGACCCAAGACUGUUCCUUGAGGUACACCUGAGUUUACUGUUAUCGGUGUUGAUUUAGAGCCAUUUAUUAUUACAGUUUGUUCUCUCCCUAUCAGAAAGUCUUUAAUCCACUGAUGCAGUGGACCAUUAAUGCCGAAAUAUUUUAAUUUUUUAAGCAAACUAUGAUGGUGAACUUUGUCAAAAGCCUUAGAAAAAUCUAGUAAGAUAGCAUUCAAUGUGUGGAAUCAAGUAUUUACCCAGAUACUGCCACAAUAUGCUCUUAUUGUUUUCAAAGGAGUUUUCACACAGUGCCAGAAGCUGUAUAAAUACAUUUAACAAUGUAUAUUUCAAGAAGAAAUGAUGCUUUUUUAUUUCUAAGAGUUUAUCAAUAGGAUGAAUGCCACAAAACUCACUUGUUAUGCCAGAAACUCUUCCUACGAAACUUCCAUACUAGAAUUUGUCCAGUGCCUGUGUUGAAGUAGAAUGUGCUCCAUAAUACCUACUAGGAGCUUGCUGAUAGCUGGAAGUUCAUGAAUACUAUGUUGUCCUUGAUUUGAUGAUUCUGAAAACUACCAUUUCUGAAGACUUGAGCAUUAUUUCUAUAAGAAAGUGAAGAUAAUAUUGUUCUUACUAAUAUUAUUGACUUAUUAAAAUAGAAAGCACAUCAUUACCAAUAUUCACUUGUCAAUAAAUGUUAGCAUUAUUCAAUUUUUAGUUACAUGUUCAAACUAUUAAAUUUUAUUAUUUAAAUUAUAGCAACUUUCUCUUUCAGUCCAGCUUAAGAUACAUUCCUGUAAAAAGUCUAUAAUAAUAAGUUAAUGUCAAUGUAGUAUUGUUCAGACACAAGUUUAAUCAUCUAUACUUCACAAAAAAAAAGUGUUUGAAUGGUUUUCAUUUGUUUGUACAUCAAAUAUGUAUUAAUAUAAUUAUCAUUUUUAGAUGAAACAUUAAAUACUGAAGAUGACCAUUUCAAUUUCUGAUGUAGGCCUAUUCUCAUUUCAUGAAAUAAACAGAAUAUUAUCUGAAA